AUUUCCAUGAUUUCAUUGGAACAUUUCCAAAAAUAAAAAUAAAUGUUUUGAGGCAAAUUUGAUUUAAAUUCUGACCAGUCAGCUGUCAUUAAUUAACCAAUUCCCCGUCAGAAUGUCCACAAAAUAGUGAGGACUCCGGAAGUGACUAGAGCAUGUCCAAUUCACAUGAAGAUGAUCCUUGGCGGAAAUGCUCGAUUCACAACCCGGUACUCUUUGAUCCUUUAUCUGGUCAAUUCUAAGAGAAUUUAAUUCAGAACGUUUCCUUCAUUGUCUCUGCAAGCUGAAAUCGUUUGUGAAUCGGACUGCCACUCAAUAUUUUGUCGCUUUGAGUUUACAAUAUUCUCUUCAAGUUUAUAAAUUUCACUCAGCUGUUCGAUAAAUAAUAAAAUCAUGUUUAAAGAAUAUA